rnacentral:tRNA from 1 species
GCUGGGGUAAUAUAAGAAGUAUGGCCGCUUUUUGAGUGGUGUGUGGUUUUAAGUAGCCUCCCGGCU